AGUUCUCUGUACACAAAUAUCUUCUUGGUCCUCUUCUGUGCAUUUCUCUGGAUCUGGUGAAGCAUGCUAUCACCACAGCCUCUUUGAAGUCUUGGUCUGGUAAUCCAGCAGCCAUGACUCACCUUGGGAUCUGAAUGUAUUCUUUUCCCCUGAGAACUGCCCGUGCUUUCCUGGCUCAUUGCAUGCUGGGUAGAUUUGGAUUGUCUUAGAGACGGGAAAUGUCACUGAGUGUAGACUUUGGGUUCAGUCCACACUCCUCUGUCUGAAGAACACGGUGGUUUUGCUCUCGUAGGUCCGCAGUUUGCGUGGGUUCAAGCUCAGGUUCAGCAUUGUCUUGUGUGGACAGCAGUUCCAGGGUCAGUGGCUGCACUGAUUUGGGGCUGUCCCAAGCACGCACUGUAUUUAGCAAGUGUGUUAAAAAGGUGUGCCCAUGGUCUGCAUUUCAGUUUCAUUCCCAAGGUUUUACUUUGCUGGUUUGGAUCUGUGUGAUUUGUGCACAGUGCAUGGGCCAUGUUUUCACAGAAUUAGGGAACCACUUUUUGGCUAUCUAUAUCCCUGGAUAUUCCUUACUCCUUCUUCCCACAAGGGCCCCUCCAUCAGAUUCCUUUGACUAAAAAGAGGAGCUCUCUUGGGGAAUAUCCUUUUGCCUCUGCUGCUUCUGUGAGAAGUGGGGGAAGGAAGAAGAACAGAAGUGGGAGGUGUGAGGGAGAGGAAGAAAAGAGGAACAGGAGAGAGGAGGGACGGAGGGAGGGAGGAACCGUGCCCGGCACGUGUCUGUUCAGUUUUUCCUCUUUUUUUUUUCCAAUCUGCAAUCACUCACCUUUAGAGUUCUCACAUAGCAGCUUGUACAUUCUAUUUAGAAUUUCUAGUCGCAGUGAGAACGGGCUGUGCUGGGCUUGUGUUACCAUCUUAGGCUCGUCUGGCCCGGUUGCUCAUGUUGUUGCGUUGUCAACACUUUAUAGAUGCUGGAUACAAGUCCUUUGUCAAAAAUUUGCAUUGUAAAUAUUUCCUUUUUAGCUGCGCCUUUUUCUUUUUAUUACUGACGUCUUUCUGUGAUCCAAAAGUUUAAUUUUUAUGAAAUUCUGCUUAUCAUUUUUCUUAAUCUGUGCCAGUUUAUCCCUGUCAACAGCAUAAGGGAUAGGAGAAGGCUCAUGCAGGGUUUGAGAAUGGUGGAGCCAGGGCCCACUAUGAGGGCUCAUGGCAAGGUUUCACUUAAACUGUGUCUUCAUAGGAACAUCCUGAAUCCCAGGGCUAGAGAUCAGAUCUGGAGAAGUGGCACUCCAGGUCAGUCAGCCGAGCCUGGGCCAGGUCCCUCUGACCCUAGUGCCUGCAUUUCUCAACUUCUGUUGGCCAGGAACCCUGUUCUCUGCCAGAGAGACUCCACUGUCUGGAUGGGGCGACACUGAAGGACACAGCCAAGAUGGAGGUAUGAAACUCCCGCUGUCCUGAUUUCCAGGAGCAUGUGAUCUCACAGUGCUGGAUGCAGGCAGGGUCUGAGAAGCCAGUGACUCUGAAGGCUGGGUCUGCGGGAGGGAGCAGGGCCAGCUGUGGCCAGGCUGCAGAACUUCUCUAAGGGACAAAUGUGCACGCCUUGGUUUCCAGGAUGCUGCCCGGAGGAGGCCCAGGCCCAGGAGCCCCUGUGGGCGCUGCUGCGCUGCAUUCACAACCUUGGAGCCAUCAGGGCAAAGUCAACUGCAGCCUGCUUCCAUGCUGGGAGAAAAAUAUCCCCCAAACCCUUUGAGUUUCCCCCCUUGCCUCAGUCCCAGUCCCAUGUUUCCCAGAAGCAGCUCAUGGCAUUUAGCAGAACGUGUUUGGACCAAGGAUCACCACCGUCCAUCAAGAGUGGAGCCGUUUGACAUUCCCUCUCUCAUGCUUCCGGCGUCUCUCUGCCAGGGGAAUCUUUCAUAGCAUUUCCGUUCUUCCUCUCGGAGCCCCAUGCCAGGGACCCCGUAGUUUAAGGACGUCAGGAUCAGAGGACUUACCCACACACCAAGGUUCCCUCAGAACUCAUGCUUAGUGCCAAAAACUUGGCGCUUCCCUAGUUGUCCACAAGGGGGAGACUGAUUCCCAUUUAUUCUGGAGGGUCCCCAUCGGGCCAUCAUUAAUGAUUAUUUAAAAUGAUAUUUCUAUUUCUUUGUGUGUGAUUGUUUCAAAGAAAUCCAAUCUUGUGUAAGGCUGGCGCCAUUGUUUUCCAGCUGACAACUUACAGAUGGUUCUUUGUUUGGAAACGUAUUUCCGAAUCAUUUACACACAUCCUCCCCUGCAGUUAGUCAUGGAGACUUCUAACACAUACCACAUCUAGACCACGAGGGGAGAGUCUUGUGGUCUUUCCACCAGAAAUCAGGCAAAUUAUUUAAAUUCUCAGAAAAGGGGGGAAACCAUCUUUUGUCGACAUCAAACAGAAAGUGUGCUCUCUUUGAACAUGAAAAUCCCUUAAACAUAUUCAAGAAUUUUAACAAGCAUUCCAGAAAGCUAUCCUAUUACUCUUUGAAGCCUGGAAAGAUUUUCUUAAAGUAGUCGCAGGCCCCUCCGGGCGGGGAGAGGCCUUUGCAGUGACAUGGGGGUGGAGCUGCACAGGUCCUGUGAGCCCCUCUGGUCCAGAAAGGAAAGCAGUCCCCAGAGGACAGGGAUGCCUUUAGAAGGAUGGGAAGUCUUCCAGAAAGAGGAGGCAUUGAACCCAUUUCCCAUCUGCUCUGCACCAAGGGUUAGAAAAAGGACAGGAACUGUGACCCACAGGACAGUGCCAAGACCAGCCUGCUCAUGGCCACCCCGCACUCUCGGGGAGGAGUGGCCACAGCUCUGGACUCAACAGCUCUGGCUAGGAAGCUGCAUCUCCAUCAGGGAUCAAGAAACUGAAAAACCAAGACAACUCAGCAACGCUACUCCUUAGGAAACGGUUGAAAGUUUUCAGAGACUUUCUGGCUUUCAGAUAUUGAUAGUGUCAAUAACAGGGCGGGGGAGAGGGGAGUAAGUUGAAAUUAUUUAAAACACCUAAGUAUCCAACAGUGGAAGGUGGGUUGGACAAAUGAAGCUGUAUUUUUAUUACAAAACAGCAAAAUGACAACAUAGACCUGUGUUUACUGUUAUGGAAAAUACCAGAAUGUUCCACUUACAAAGGGAGAGCUGGCUAAGAAGGAAGUUCUCCAAGGUUCGCACGGAAGGCAAAGGAACUAGAGAGUUUCCUGGGCCAUGAGUAAAAUGAUUCGCUCUGGCCUGGAGACUCACUGUAGCCACAGUGAUCAGGAGCACGUGGACAGGCAGAGAGAAACCGGAAGUAGAUUCACGCAGAUAUACACAACCGAGGUUUGACAGGUGUGUGAGGGGAGUCUGCAGGGCUGGGAGACAGUCUUUUAACAAAUGAUGGUGGAGAGAAAAAACUCACAGUGUAUUUGAAAAUCAAAAUGAAAUUAAAUGUAAGAAAUAAAAGCUCCUCAAAAGCUUCAGAAGAAAGACACACACACACACACACACACACACACACACACACACACACACACACACACAAAAAAUCACGAGGAACUAGAGCAGGGUAAGAGUCUGAAGGCAUCACAGCUUCAUGUGCAGGGAAGAGCUGGCAAACUGAACCCCAGCGAAGUGAAGCUGCUCUGAAAAAAACCCACUGAAAGAUCAAACGCAACACCAAAAAAUGUGCAGGAACGGGAAAAAAAACAAUGAAAAUCUUGCAGAGCGCAUGCGUGACAGAGUUCCUGUGGGGCUCUAGAACUGACUGGCAAAUUGAACAGCAAAGCUCUCCGUGUCCCGACUAGAGAGUGGACAAAUGACCAGAGGAGACACUCCACCAGAGGACCUACGGGUGACCGGUAAGCACUUGAGAAAGUGUUCAGCAUGACCAGCCUUUAGAAAAAUGCAAAUGAAAACCAGGGAGACACGGCACACUACGUCAGACGGCUGUUUAAAAAACGACAGCAGCAAAUGAUAGGAUUUAUAGGAAAACUCCAACCCUAUUGAUGAGAAUACAGAACAGGACAGCCAGUCUGGGGGGGGGGGGCUCUUUAACAAAAUAUGUGAUCCCCACAGAAUCCAGCAAUUGUACUCCUGAGCAUGUCUGUAUCCUUGAGGGAUGAAAACAUUCACACCAAAAUGUACAGAAAUGUUAUGUCAGAUUUAUCCAUAGUAACACCAAACAAACAUAAUCUAGUUAUGGAUUAUGUCCGUGGGUGAAAGGUUAAAUAGAUUGUGAUAUGUCCACAGUAUGGAGUAUUAUUCGGCCAUAAAAAGGAAUGAACUAUUCACAAUGCACACCCUCAGCACAGCCAGAAAUCAAGCUGAGGAAACAAGCUAAUCCAAAAUGUCACCAUGUGAUUCCGUCUUUAUAACACUCUGGAAACACAGGAUUUCAGGAAAGGAGAAUAGUUCAGCUCCUAAACUUGUAAGCUGGUGAGACACAGGAAGGUGGAUACAGCUACCGGAAGACAGCGUAGCUGAAACAAAUCUGUUUGCCUAUGGUGAUGAAGUAACUCUAUUGACAUUAACAUCAAUAUCCUGGUUAGCAGGCUGACAGGACGGCCCGGGGGUAAAGUACUUGCUGCCACGCCUGAUGACUGGGGUUGAUUCCUAGGACUCAUGGCAGAAGGAGAGAAAUAACUCCUAACUUGUUUUCUGACCUCCAGGCUGACCCUGAAGUCGUAAGUAGCUGAGGGUAACCUUGAACUUUUGAUUCUCCUGCCUCUGCCUCGCAAGUUCUGGUUUUACAGAAUGCACCACUGUGCCGGGCUUUAGGCAGUUUGGGGCUGGUUGAACCCAGGGCUUCACUUGUGCUGGGCAAACAGCCUAACAGCGGAGCCCAGCUCUCAUUAUUUCUUAGAUGUGUGAAUCGCUCAUGAUCUCAGGAUUCCAAGUUUAAUUAAAAAGGACAGAGCAUGAGACUGCCCUGGAAACUGGAAGAUGUGGAUGUGUGUCCGGUACUCCUGGGGCUUCAUCAGGAGCCUCACAGUUGCUGGGCACCCAGAUGGGGUGGUCACGUUGGAAGUGUAGUGUGCAUCCCAGGAGGCACCUGGGUGAUAAGCCACAGGGUGAAGCGAUUAAGUCCCUAAAUGGCAGCCCCGUCCCUAGGAGUCCUGAGAUACUCCCUGCCCUGGCCUGCUGGUCACAGGGAUGGCAGAGGAGGGUAGGGAGGGCAGUGCUCUCCCCCCUUCCACUCAGAGCUGCUGGGCAGAGUGUGCAGUGCUGUGAGGCGGCAGGGCCAGGCUCCAGCGUUGGUGUGAGGACCAGUGCACACUCAAGCAGCCCUGGGAGGCAGGAUGCAACACUUACACUGCCCCACACAAGUGAGAUCUUGCAGUCAGCCAAUGUCCAUCAGCAAGCAGGAAAUGAGCAGGCACCUGUAAUUAAUGCUCUCUCCAGAGCUGGUGAGCUUUGCUCAGCUCAGGGCCCUUAACAAGAGCAGCCUUCUCCAAUUAAGUAACCACAGGUAGCUUUUUGCAAAUCGUAGCCAUCUGCCUAGUAACCAGAAAGUAAACAUGACCUGAUUCAGCGCUCUGUAAAGUCCAAGAAAUGCUAUUUUGAUCUGUCAGCUGCUCCUAAUGAGGACACAGUUAUGUGUAAACAGGCCAUCCGUUUGAGGGGACUGACUAAGUGAGUCAGUCAGAAAAGCUCACCAGUCACGCAAGCAGCCUGCCAAGGCAGGUGCCAGAAGGGAAAGCUGCAUGGACCACAGAGCCAAGGCUAGACCUGAGAGAGCCUGGCAGUCCCGGCAGGAGGCUGGCUGUGCUUUCUACAGCACCAAUGCUGAACAGAAGAUAAGAUCCUUUCUCCUAACCCUCCCUUCUGGUCCUGGAACUCACAGCACCAUGUCCUACCUCAGAGCCUUUGUCCUCGCUCUGUCCCCUGCCUGAGAGCCCUGCUUCCAGGUCUGUACUUGGUAGAUUCUUCCAUUCCUGCCUCUUCCUCAGAAGGCUCACUCCCUCCAAACUGGCAUCUGGGCCCACCUCAGUCCGCUUUCAUAUCCCCCUGACUGCCUCCUGAAAGCACUUCCUCAGGAAGCAUGUUGCUUCCUUAGUGGCUUUCUGAGUCCAUCAAGGCAGAAGUUCUGAAGACAAGAGCUUGUAUGUCUUGUUCCCCCCCAUUUCUUCCAGGUUCACCAAAUGCCUGCGGAGGAGAGCAGGAUGGGGCUGCCUCCAUCCCAGAGGCUUCAUUCUGUCAGGAGAGCUUUGUGUUCUUCUCAGAGAUCCCUCUCCAGGGUUUGUAAAGGUGAGAGCCAAGCAUCCAGGAAAUGGAACUCGCGUAACAUCCAAAGCCACACACCCUUGUAAAUGGCUGUGAUUCCAUGUCCUUCCUGUUCUCUGUCACAUGGAAAACGGAGCAUAGCUGUGAGAUCCGAGAGAGGAAGGACACUGAGUCUGAGCACACUCUGCUACAUUGUAGCGGGUGGUUGUCUGUGCCAUGUUCUGAAGGACCCUUAAGACCUGGGAUGCAUGUAAGUGAGCUCUCUUCUCUUUGCUACCUCGUGGUCUUGGAUGCUGGUGCAGAUCAGGGGCAGAGCUCUCCAGAGAACAGCACUAGACUGUGCUUCAUCUUUCCAGGAUCUGCUGCAAUCCCUAUUUCCUGCAUUGUGAGUUUCCUGUAUCGUGAGUUAACCACCCAAUAAAUUCCUAUAAUCAUUAAGCUA